rnacentral:rRNA from 1 species
GAAUGCUGACAUAAGUAACGAUAAUGCGGGUGAAAAACCCGCACGCCGGAAGACCAAGGGUUCCUGUCCAACGUUAAUCGGGGCAGGGUGAGUCGACCCCUAAGGCGAGGCCGAAAGGCGUAGUCGAUGGGAAACAGGUUAAUAUUCCUGUACUUGGUGUUACUGCGAAGGGGGGACGGAGAAGGCUAUGUUAGCCGGGCGACGGUUGUCCCGGUUUAAGCAUGUAGGCGGAGGUUCCAGGUAAAUCCGGUACCUUUUUAACGCUGAGGUGUGAUGACGAGGCACUACGGUGCUGAAGUAACAAAUGCCCUGCUUCCAGGAAAAGCCUCUAAGCAUCAGGUAACACGAAAUCGUACCCCAAACCGACACAGGUGGUCAGGUAGAGAAUACCAAGGCGCUUGAGAGAACUCGGGUGAAGGAACUAGGCAAAAUGGUGCCGUAACUUCGGGAGAAGGCA